rnacentral:rRNA from 1 species
GGCGGAAAUAGCGACAGGGAAACGCCCGGACCCAUCCCGAACCCGGAAGCUAAGCCUGCCAGCGCCGAUGAUACUA